AGACAGGCUGUCAGAGCGGUCAUAGAGAAUCCAACGAACCAGCAACUUCACAGCUGAGACCGUCCAAGAGCCAGAGAACUAGCUCUUGCCUGCGGAUCAAGAUUUGCUGAACCAGAGGCCUACGUCGAGAGUCACAGACCAUUAUCAGUUUGUUCAUAUGGUGGACUACAUUGACAGAUUUUCAUAAGUUGAACCAUCUCCCCAUCUCUGGGAUUUCCUCAGGGGUUAUAAGUCUAUUUAAACGGUUUAUCUCAACUUGAUUUAACUUAGGACGAACAUCAUACAUUUUGUCAGUGGUCGAUGCAUGGGCAGUUCCUUGCCCAAAGGCCAGUUUUGCCAAGAAGAAAACAGGCUCCAAGUGGUGUGUCUUCGAUGGCGCUCAACAUUCUCUCAGGAAUAGAUUGGUACUGCCAGGAGCAAUCGUGUCUCACAUCAACAGAAUCCUAAGUUAUUUAAAUGCCAUGGGCCUCUCAAAGGUCAUUGGCUGAAGGAGGUGUCCAUCAUCAUGUGAUGCUGUGAAGCUGAGUUUAUGUCCCUCCUGCGUUGACUCUAGAAACUCUCACUAGUGAUGGGGUGAUAUUUGGAGGGUCCCUUGGGAGGUAAGUAGGUUAAUAUCAUGCCAUGAUAUGGGACCCUGAUAUUUGUCUCUCCACACACAUUUUCUCUCUCUCUCUCUCUCUCUCUCUCUCUCUCUCUCUCUCUCUCCCUCUCUCUCUCUCCCUACACACACACACACACACACACACACACACACACACACACGAGCACACAGCAAGAAACCAGAAGACCAUUAUCUGUGGGCUAGAAAGACCAGGAGAAGCCCUUCCUGAGAACAGGAAGAGGUGGUGGGAUGGAAGAAUUGAAUGCCCUUUAAGCCUGCGGUGCUCUUGUUACAGCCCAAGGUGGCUAAGAGACAUUGUCACCAGGAGUCAAAGCUAACCUUAGCUUAGAGAUUCAAUUAACUGUAAGAGAUACUGAGAAAUAGUCUUGGUAUUUGGGUUGUAAGCAGAACCUGAAGCGCAAUGUCCCAUAGAAACCCUUCUUAAGGGAUGGUUGGCAUAUGGCCUUUACUUCUCUUCUUUUUGUUCUGUUUUCGUUUGACACAGAGUCUCACUAUGUAGCCCUGGCUGACCUGGUGCUUGCUAUGUAGACUAGGCGGGGCUUGAACUCACAGAGAUUGACUUGCCCCUGCCUACUGAGUGCUGGGAUUAAAGAUGUGCUCCAUCACUCCCAGUCUGCUCCCUUUCUCCUUUGUGCCUCUCUCCAUCCUAAUCGCUGGGAGUGUGGCCUGAGGGGGUCACAUUGCAGGCUCUGACUGACUUACAUGAUAAGGCUGUUAAGGUGAUCUUGCGCUAAAAGAACAACUAAUAAAAUUGUACCACAGGAAGUAUUGUCUGGGACAAAUAUAAACUAAACAUAUAAGUGUAUCGAAACAUGUUUUAAGAAAAGGAACACAUAUGCAGAACCCAUGGAGUUCUUUGGAAGACUCUACCAGUCUGUAUAUCUAUCUGUCUGGCUUGGCGGUUACGUCAUCUCUCCGUGACAAGCAAUUCCUAUUUGUUCCACAAGACAGUAUCCAUCUAGACUAUAGAGUGCCAAAAAGUAAGUUUAUAAAUAUGUCUUUUUCCGAAAUAGAAAGUCAAACAUUACUUCUUGUAAGAUGUGUCAUUGGGUUAAAACAUUGUUAUGAUGGCUGGGGUCAGGGUGGGGUGGGGGUGCUGUUGUGUGGAAAGCAGAAGAAGCUUCCGGAGCCAAAACGGUGGGAGUUCUUCUCUGGACUGCAUGAUGCCGGGAAGUGUGUAUCUGGUGAGAGCUGAGCAAGAGACAGCUCAAAUUCUUCCUCCAGGUUCUCCAGCGCCCUGAAGUGUGGUCAAGCCGGGAAGCUGCGAACCAACCUCUGCCACACACAGCCUUUCUGCCAGGGCCCUCACACCUCCGACCUCUCUGUUUUCUUUCGGCCAGACCUGGCUUGUGUGAGGCCUGUAAACUUUAGUGUUUCUGGGAAGCAGCGGUGGGAGCUCCCAAACACUUGGUGACUUAAAGAGACAGGACUUGGAAUGCUUGGCCAGCUUGGGCACACAGAGGUUUGUUUUGUUGACUUGGAAUGCUUCAGCCAGCCUGGGCACACAUAGGUUUGUUUUGUUGAAGAAUCGAGUCUUGCUGGGUGGUGAAAGCCACGCUGGGAGAAAGAAUGGGGCAAUUCAUCAGCCCCUGCACACACUGCCUCUCCCAUUUUGUUCUGAAAUCUCUUGAGAGAAGGAUUUGUUCUUCGGCAGGGAGGCCCUAGCAGAGCGAGCACUCCCAGCGCUGAGAGGUGUGGGCUGAGGCAGAGCUGGUUCAAGUCCCAUUUCCUUUUCUAAACACAUUAGGUCUUUUUCAUCAUCCGACCUCCACAGAAAGGAAACCACAGUCGCUCCGACCCGGCAUUCCCCUGGGAAGGCGUCGCAGGGUGCUUUCUCUUCUCCACUGUGCGCAGUUGUUCAGCUCGUGAUUUUAUCCCAGAGACAUUUUGUGCUGCCUUCGGGCUUGUUGGGGGCUCUUUAGAAGCCUUUUCCUUGCGGGUUUCCUUUCUGUUUGCUCUUCUGUCUUGCUGUUGCGUGUCCUGCUACUGGGGUCAGCUGUCACCCUGAGGUGGGACAGGUCCUGCAGGCUGCACAGUAGAACUGAGAUGUGACCCACUAACCAAUCUGAGCCCUUUAGUACCAACAGAGGCUAGUAAAACAAGCCUGAGUAUUCCUUGGGGACAUGAAGUUCCCAGCUCCUCCUUGAAGACAGGGAAGCCUCACCCCUAGAGUCCUGCCAACAAUUCUGACACUGUGGGGUGGGGCACAAACCUGGCUCUCAAUGGUAAGAUGGCUCCUUCUGCCCCCCAGAUGCCAUGUUAUUGCUUCAUUUUAUUGACCUCAGUCUGUUUUCUUAAGAUUUGUUUUUAAGAGAGAGAGAGAGAGAGAGAGAGAGAGAGAGAGAGAGAGUGUGCGUGUGUGCGUGCGCAUGUGUGCGUGCAUGCAUGCAUGUAGUACACAGCCUACCAUUGUUAACUCAGAGGACUCUUUCAAGAGUUGGUUCUUUCCUUCCAACCUGGCAUUAACUCAGUUGUCAGGCUUGGUGGCAAGCUCCUACCAACUGAGCCAUCUUGCCAGUCCUCUAUGGCUUUUAAAAACCCCGUUUUGAAAGCUUGGCAGGGGAGGGGGUAGGGAUACACACUUGCAAUUCUAGCUCUUUAAUGUAAAGGCAGGAGGAUCAUGACUUUAAAGGCAGCCUUGGCUACUUAGCAAGAUUAAGGCUAGACUGAGCAGUACAGGAUUUUGUCUUUAAAAACAGAACAAAACAAUGGCUGGAGAAAUAACAGAGCAGUUAAGAUACUGCCCUUCCAAAGGAUCCAAGUUCAAAUCCCAACACCCACUUUAGGUGGCCUUCAACCUUCUGUUUCAAUUUUAAGGGCUCUGAUGCCCUCUUUCCGCCUCCUCUGGCACUGUACUCAAAUGGACAAAUAAAGAAACACAUAAAUAUACACAUAAUUAAAAGUAAAAUUAAAAAAUUCCCCUUUUGGCUAAUUUCCAGUUUUGACUAAGCAUAAACAAAUUAACAUGUAAGUUAUCAAUAUUAAACAUUAACAUUAAAUAACAGUAUUAAAGUUAUUCUUUGGUUUUAAUUUCAGUCUGUAUUUCUUUCUAGUCUAUAAUACAAUGGUUUUCCUGGGCGUGCCACCCUGACUGUCUUCAAACUGACCCUACUCAGGAGAGAAAGACUCUUCAGAGGCCUUAACUCCCAGCCCUUAAGGAGAGACUGGGGCUUUUGGCUUUCCGAGCCCUCCCUCUGCUUUGAAGAGGGUCUUUUUCUGUGUGUCUCUGAAUGUGUUUCCUCGCCCACAAUGAAUGCUUUCGUUCAGCUGCUGAUUCUGUCUAUGAUGCUUCAGAUCCCUCUGCUGCUACAUGCUGUCCUCAGAUUCUGUAAGUGGGAGAGAAGACAAACCCAACCAAGACCCCUAGACUGUGUCAGUUGAUAUUUCCAGAUCAUUGUUGUUAUAACAAAUCUUAUCUACUUUUUUGAGCAUUAGCUACAAUUCC